CUGUGUGUCACACAACUUACUGGCUGUAUUUUCUACUACUGGACAUUUCAAUAAACUGAGGGAGGACAGUGAUAAAAUCGGACCUCUUGCUUAUUUUCCUCCUAAUGGGACCUUUAACCUCAUGUACUACCCGUACUAUGGCAAGAAAUCUCAGUUGGAGACAAAGUGGACCUCGGUGGACCUGGUUCUCUGUAGACCUCCGUGUGGACUCACCUGGGCGUGUACUCCAGGUGAGA